AGGUGUCGCCUGAUCAAGACGUAGCCAGCACCAUGUCUGCCUGCAUGCCGCCAUGCUCCCCGCCAUGAUGAUAAUGGACCGAACCUCUGAAACUGACGUCAUCACAGAUGGUUCCCAAGACGCCUUUGAAGAGAGGGUUUCCCAGGACCAUGGAACAGAAAACGCAGUUCUUGCUUCCUCUUCCUGUAAUGCGCAUGGCACAUCCUGUGGAAGAAGAAAGGAAUGACGACGACAGAACUGUAGAAUCCGUGCUGCUCUGUGCUGUGACACAAGGACAGCAGGUCCGGGGGACACCGAUUAGAGUCUCACGGUCCCCUCAGAAACCCCCCGGAUCUUGACACGCCAGCACAUUUUAUCAAUGGGACAAUGACCCAGAGAAAAGUAAAAUACAUCGGGGGGGCGGGGGGGAACAACCGUGCCGCUUCACAGUUACGUAGAGAUGGGUCUCAUCUAGAAUUUGCACCGAGUAAACCACGGCUGUGUGUGUGUGUGAGAACAGCCACAGGACAGAAGCAUUCUUCAAGGCAAGGUCAACAACUCCUGCGGCUCAUUUGUCAAAAGACACAUGUUCGCUGACUUCAGGAAACGCUGGUUCUGGGUGAAAAACAGAAAAGGCUAUUCAUUUCCCAUCUCACUAGGAAAGGUCACGUUAAAACCCACGAGCCAGAAGGAGCAGACACGUGUAAACAAGAGACCCAACUGUCUUCCUCUCCCAUUGAUUUCUGCUGUUUAUCCUAUGAGUAACUCUCGGAUUCCCCAAAGCCCUCAAUUCAUUUCUGAAUC